rnacentral:rRNA from 1 species
UACGUAGGGGGCAAGCGUUGUCCGGAUUUAUUGGGCGUAAAGAGCGUGUAGGCGGCCAGGUAGGUCGGUUGUGAAAACUGGAGGCUCAACCUUCAGAGGUCGACCGAAACCAUCUGGCUAGAGUCCGGGAGAGGAGAGUGGAAUUCCUGGUGUAGCGGUGAAAUGCGUAGAUAUCUGGAGGAACACCGGUGGCGAAGGCGACGUCCUGGACCGGCAUUGACGCUGAGGCGCGAAAGCCAGGGGAGCAAACGGG